GCACCGUGCGGCUCUGGGCGGCACCGGCACCGGCUCCCCACACCGGGCCGCUGCUCGGGCUCGGGCUCGGGCUCGGGCUCGGGCGGGAGGACAGCUGGAAGCAGCCUGGCCAGCUCAGGCGCGGAACCAUUUAGUAAUUCAUAACGUCAGGUCGCAGCUGAGUCAAAGAUAACAGCACCUGGAAAAAGAGAGCAGCGAGCCAGAUGGCAACAAAGACCCAACGUGCGCUUCCAUGGGCAGCGGCGGAGGAGCGUAGGACUCGGCCUGGAUUUCCCCAGGAGAUAGAGCUGGAAGAUACUAGAGAAGCCAAGAAUACUGUCUAGGCUGGGGCCUCUCCUGGAGCACUGCUCACAAGCCAAACAGACAGCAGAGCUAUCAGGGUGCAAGUUCAUUUCCUGAGGCAGUGAGGAGUGCCCACCUGCACCCGCUGUACCGCCUGCGCCUGCCAUGUCCUGAGUGCCCUCCUGCCUCCACCCUGCAGUGUCGGCUGCCCAGCACAGCUGAGCUGCGGGGCUGGGACUCCUUUGCUGGGUGAUGCGGCUUUUCUUAGGAAAAGUUCAAUCUCUACAGGACAGCCCAGGAGGACAGUUUGCUCUUUAAAUGACCCCAAUACACAUAGGACGUAUUGAAGAAAAAAACAUUUGCUCAUGACUAAAUCUCAUUAAAAAAGCAAUUUCCAAUCAAUUACAGUGCAAUUUAGCUGCUAACCGU
rnacentral:lncRNA from 1 species